AUCCUUCUGGUUCAUUGAGGAGAUGAUGAUUGGUCCAAUCACUGUUCCAUCAGUGAGACGUGUCUCCAACUUGUUACGCAUAGACACGUGACCUCUCUGAUC